rnacentral:rRNA from 1 species
UACGUAGGGUGCGAGCGUUAAUCGGAAUUACUGGGCGUAAAGCGCGCGUAGGUGGUUCGUUAAGUUGGAUGUGAAAUCCCCGGGCUCAACCUGGGAACUGCAUCCAAAACUGGCGAGCUAGAGUAGGGCAGAGGGUGGUGGAAUUUCCUGUGUAGCGGUGAAAUGCGUAGAUAUAGGAAGGAACACCAGUGGCGAAGGCGACCACCUGGGCUCAUACUGACACUGAGGUGCGAAAGCGUGGGGAGCAAACAGG